AGAUGGUUUAAAUCUUGCUGGUGGUGCGGGGGUAGUGGGAAAAAAGCAGCAAAACCAAAACAGACAUCCAUCAAUAAGUUAAGUACCUGGAAUCACGGUGACAAUGAAGUUAGCAGCGAAGGGGUCCAGAGGAACAGCGUACUCCGAAACCUUUACAAAAUAAUGGCCAUGCAAAGAAGGCCGCAUGACGCGCAAGCGGGUAUAUACAGACGUGGUCUCCCAUCCUGGAUGUACAAGUCCAAAAACCAGUACGGCUGGUGGUUCGGAGACGGCGGUAAAGUAAUAGAUGGCGCUCAAGAGGACGACGGUCCAAUAAUCGACAAUACCGGAAACAUCCUCUCCCGAUGAAAACAAUGCUUACUCACAAGAAUGUCCUUGAACUCCGUCAGUAUAUUUUGGUAUAAUAUGUGUGCAUUUGUAUGGUCAAGUCAAUCUUAAAUAUACACAAUUGGGUUAAAACUUGUGUUAUGAACAGUUUACAGCGCUUGCCUUUUUAUCUUUGUUAAUAGUGUCCGUUCGCAAAUAUCACAGAACUAACGGUUGGACAUGCAUUAUAUAAUUUCGUGGAUUAAAUGCUUUCAAUAGUAACUGCAUGUAUUUUGAAAAGAGACACUAGUGAAAUAUUGAACUGACGUUUGGGUA